CCUACGGGAGGCAGCAGUGAGGAAUAUUGGUCAAUGGACGAGAGUCUGAACCAGCCAAGUAGCGUGAAGGAUGACUGCCCUAUGGGUUGUAAACUUCUUUUAUAUGGGAAUAAAAUGUUCCACGUGUGGGAUUCUGUAUGUACCAUACGAAUAAGGAUCGGCUAACUCCGUGCCAGCAGCCGCGGUAAUACGGAGGAUCCGAGCGUUAUCCGGAUUUAUUGGGUUUAAAGGGAGCGUAGGUGGAUUGUUAAGUCAGUUGUGAAAGUUUGCGGCUCAACCGUGGAAUUGCAGUUGAAACUGGCAGUCUUGAGUACAGUAGAGGUGGGCGGAAUUCGUGGUGUAGCGGUGAAAUGCUUAGAUAUCACGAAGAACUCCGAUUGCGAAGGCAGCUCACUGGACUGCAACUGACACUGAGGCUCGAAAGUGUGGGUAUCAAACAGGAUUAGAUACCCUUGUAGUC
rnacentral:rRNA from 1 species